CCAUACUCCCAUACACUGACCCAUCCAGGUUCACUCCUCUCCCUGAUCCCAUACACUGAUCCAUCCAGGUUCACUCCUCUCCCUGAUCCCAUACACUGAUCCAUCCAGGUCCACUCCUCUCCCUGAUCCCAUACUCCCAUACACUGACCCAUCCAGGUUCACUCCUCUCCCUGAUCCCAUACACUGAUCCAUCCAGGUUCACUCCUCUCCCUGAUCCCAUACACUGAUCCAUCCAGGUCCACUCCUCUCCCUGAUCCCAUACAC